rnacentral:rRNA from 1 species
UACGGAGGGUGCGAGCGUUGUCCGGAAUCAUUGGGCGUAAAGGGCGCGUAGGUGGCUUCUCAAGCGUGCGGUGAAAGCCUGGGGCUCAACCCCGGGUCGGCCGUGCGAGCUGGGGGGCUUGAGCACUGUAGAGGCAGGCGGAAUUCCGGGUGUAGCGGUGGAAUGCGUAGAGAUCCGGAAGAACACCGGUGGCGAAGGCGGCCUGCUGGGCAGUUUAGCUGACACUGAGGCGCGACAGCGUGGGGAGCAAACAGG